AUGUUAUAUAUGAUGUUGAUGAAAUCUUGGAUGUGGCUAGAUGUAAAGGAAGCAAACUACUUGCUGACGACCCUUCACCAUCAUCUAGCAAACCAUGCAUGUAAAGGCCUUUCAGUUUCCUCUUGUUUUUGCAACAUCGUGCCACGCCGUGAUGUUGCUGUUCGGAUUAGAAGCCUGAACAAAAAGAUUGAGAACAUUCCAAAUGACAAGAUAUUUUUGACUUUCAACAGUAGUACACAACCUACUCGAAAUGGUCCAACAUCCAAACUGAUAAGAAGUUCCAAUCUUGUUGAACCCAACCUUGUGGGGAAGGAGAUCAUACAUUCUAGCAGGAAGUUGGUGGACUUAGUGCUUGCACACAAGGAGUACAAGUCUUACAAGCUCGGUAUCAUUGGAACUGGAGGAAUUGGUAAGACAACACUAGCUCAAAAAAUAUACAAUGAUCUAAAAAUAAAAGGAAACUUCAAGAUGCAUGCAUGGAUUUCUGUUUCGCAAGACUACACUGAAGUAACUCUUUUGAAAGAGGUCCUCCGGAAUAUUGGUGUGCAUAGUGAGCAAGGUGAAAGCAUAACAGAACUGCAGAGAAAUCUUACAGAAACAAUUAAAGGUGAGAGUUUCUUUCUCGUUCUUGAUGAUGUGUGGCAUUCCAGUGUAUGGACAGAUUUACUUAGACCUGCGUUUCAUGAAACAACUACGGGAAUAAUAUUGGUAACCACACGAGAUGAUCAAAUUACAAAGAGAAUAGGUGUAUACCAUACCCAUAAGCAGUAG
rnacentral:rRNA from 1 species